GGGCGGUUAGCUCAGUGGUAGAGCAUUCGCUUCACACGCGAAGGGUCGUAGGUUCAAGUCCUAUACCGCCCA
rnacentral:tRNA from 1 species